rnacentral:lncRNA from 1 species
CCCAACCCAACCGUGGCUCGCCCUCACCAGACCCCCCCAACCCAACCCUGGCUCGCCCUCACCACACCCGACCCACUCAGGCUCCUCGGAACAUCACGGCCACACAGCAGCCACAUCGCACAACCACACCCCUCCCCGAGAGCCCCGGAGUCACCCUCGCGUUGGCUCUCACCGUGCGUCUGCUCGCACACCCCGCACACUCGCGAGCCGGGCGGCCCGGGCGAGCGCGCGCGCGCUCCUGCCCUCACUCGGGGUCCGCCGAGCCCCCCGAGGCGAGCCCGCGCCCGGUCGGCAGCCCACGGCCGCCGCAAAGCCGACCACCAGUCGGGCGGCUCCCGCGCUUCCCGCGGCGGGGUCCCGGCAGCGCCACCGGCCCGACAGCCCCGGAAGGCGAGCUCAGAGACGUGACCCCCAGGCGCGCCCCGGGCGGGUCCAUAGACUCCCCGCGGCCAGCGGCGCGCGACCGUUAGGUUUCCCCGAGCACGGGCGCUCCCGGCAGGCCUCGCGGCCCGCCCAACUUCCGGCCGGAGCUCCGGCGGCGCUUCCUGUGCGAGGGAGCCGAGAGGCGGCCGGGGGCGCCCGGGUGGCUGAGCUCGUUAGCGCCGCGCGCGCGGGACCACUUGGUGGCUGUGGCCUUGGGGAACUACAUUUCCCAGAAAGCCCCGCGGCCGGGGGGGCGCCCCUCGCUGGGACUCUCGGGCGUUUCCAGCGGCCUGGCGGGACCGUUAGAAGGGGCGAGGCGAGGACGGCCCAGCUUGGCCCCGAGGUUUGCACUUCGGCGCCACAGGUUCCGCCCUCGGCCGACUGGAAGAGCCUCAGAUGAGAAGAGGGGCGGCCUGUGCGAGCUGGGGCCUUGGGGCUGGGCGAGCAAGUGCCCUGAUGGUUUGGGGGGCGUCGUCUGCAACCCAUUCUAACGGGCGUUUCUGUGAGGACGAGAAACGGCUGCUCACUGUGCCUGAGCCGGGCGGUGGUGGCGCCCGCCUUUAGUCCCUGCCCUCGGGAGGCCAGGGGGAUCUCUGUGAGUUCGAGACCAGCCUGGUCUACCAGGGAUAGUUCCAGGACAGCCUCCAAAGCCACACAGAGAAACCCUGUCUUGCCUGAGACUCCUGCCCCUUGUCAGAACUCUGUCCCCGGAAGCCUCCCUGAGCUCUGAAAUCCAAUGUGUGAAACCAAGAUGUUGUCGAUAAAGAACAGGCAUGUUAGUCAAGUAAUGCUUACCUCUAAAGACAUGCCCACUUGUAUUCACCCUGCAUUUCUUCACUCUACACUGAAAAACUAAUCAUGAGGAUAAACCCUAUGAAUGUGCCCUUGGAGGCCAGAAGAGGACACCAGAUCUGGAGCUGGAGUUAUAGUCAAUUGAGAGUCACCCAACAUUUGUGCUGGCAAUGAAGAUGGAGAAAUGACUGCAAGGGACAAGACCUAUCUUGGAACUUACAAGGUCCCUAUGCAAAUCAUAUAUACAAUUUAUUACAUCAUGUAGCAGAUGGAGAAAAAUAAGACGCAUGAAAUUCAG